rnacentral:rRNA from 1 species
ACGGAGGGGGCGAGCGUUGUUCGGAAUUACUGGGCGUAAAGCGCGCGCAGGCGGCUCUUUAAGUCUACCCGUGAAAUGCCGGAGCUCAACUCCGUGCACGCCGGGGGAUACUGGAGAGCUGGAGACGAGUAGAGGCAAGCGGAAUUCCGGGUGUAGCGGUGGAAUGCGUAGAGAUCCGGAAGAACACCGGAGGCGAAGGCGGCUUGCUGGGCUUGGUCUGACGCUGAGGCGCGAAAGCGUGGGGAGCAAACGGGA